AUGGCUGUCGUCAGCUCGUGUUGUGAAAUGUUGGGUUAAGUCCCGCAACGAGCGCAACCCUUAUCCUUUGUUGCCAGCGAUUAGGUCGGGAACUCAAAGGAGACUGCCAGUGAUAAACUGGAGGAAGGUGGGGAUGACGUCAAGUCAUCAUGGCCCUUACGACCAGGGCUACACACGUGCUACAAUGGCGCAUACAAAGAGAAGCGACCUCGCGAGAGCAAGCGGACCUCAUAAAGUGCGUCGUAGUCCGGAUUGGAGUCUGCAACUCGACUCCAUGAAGUCGGAAUCGCUAGUAAUCGUGGAUCAGAAUGCCACGGUGAAUACGUUCCCGGGCCUUGUACACACCGCCCGUCACACCAUGGGAGUGGGUUGCAAAAGAAGUAGGUAGCUUAACCUUCGGGAGGGCGCUUACCACUUUGUGAUUCAUGACUGGGGUGAAGUCGUAACAAGGUAACCGUAGGGGAACCUGCGGUUGGAUCACCUCCUUACCUGAAAGAA
rnacentral:rRNA from 1 species